rnacentral:rRNA from 1 species
UACGUAGGGGGCUAGCGUUGUCCGGAAUCAUUGGGCGUAAAGCGCGCGUAGGCGGCCCGGUAAGUCCGCUGUGAAAGUCAAAGGCUCAACCUUUGAAUGUCAGCGGAUACUGCCGGGCUAGAGUCCGGAAGAGGCGAGUGGAAUUCCUGGUGUAGCGGUGGAAUGCGCAGAUAUCAGGAGGAACACCAACGGCGAAGGCAGCUCGCUGGGACGGUACUGACGCUGAGGCGCGAAAGCGUGGGGAGCGAACAGGG